UGGCAGCUGAAUUUGAGGUUUGGAUGGGACCAAAUCUUACUGCAGACUUGCAGAGCAAGACAAGAUUUGGUUUCCUCCAAUAUCUCAUGUUCAGUUGUCA
rnacentral:pre_miRNA from 1 species